rnacentral:tRNA from 1 species
GGGGACGAAUGGAUUCCGGUGGAUCCUGCGGACUUCAAAUCCGUUAUCGGGUGGGUGAUCCGGCCGAGGUAGGUUCGACUCCUACACGUUCCCGCCA